rnacentral:rRNA from 1 species
AGUGAACGCUGGCGGUAGGCCUAACACAUGCAAGUCGAACGGCAGCACAGGAGAGCUUGCUCUCUGGGUGGCGAGUGGCGGACGGGUGAGGAAUACAUCGGAAUCUACCUUUUCGUGGGGGAUAACGUAGGGAAACUUACGCUAAUACCGCAUACGACCUACGGGUGAAAGUGGGGGACCGCAAGGCCUCACGCGAUUAGAUGGGCCGAUGUCCGAUUAGCUAGUUGGCGGGGUAAUGGCCCACCAAGGCGACGAUCGGUAGCUGGUCUGAGAGGAUGAUCAGCCACACUGGAACUGAGACACGGUCCAGACUCCUACGGGAGGCAGCAGUGGGGAAUAUUGGACAAUGGGCGCAAGCCUGAUCCAGCCAUACCGCGUGGGUGAAGAAGGCCUUCGGGUUGUAAAGCCCUUUUGUUGGGAAAGAAAUCCUAUCGGUUAAUAACCGGUGGGGAUGACGGUACCCAAAGAAUAAGCACCGGCUAACUUCGUGCCAGCCGCCGCCGUAAUAC